rnacentral:piRNA from 1 species
UGAGUUGCAGAGGAUCAGGUUUGCUGG